rnacentral:rRNA from 1 species
GAUGAACGCUAGCUACAGGCUUAACACAUGCAAGUCGAGGGGUAACGUGUCGUUUGCUUGCAAUCGACGACGACGACCGGCGCACGGGUGAGUAACGCGUAUCCAACCUGCCCAUCAGUGGUGCAUAGCCCGUCGAAAGUCGGAUUAAUUCACCAUAAGUCUAUUAUCGGCAUCUGUUUUAGACGAAAGAUUUAUUGCUGAUGGAUGGGGAUGCGUAUGAUUAGUUGGUUGGUGGGGUAACGGCCCACCAAGACAUCGAUCAUUAGGGGUUCUGAGAGGAAGGUCCCCCACACUGGUACUGAGACACGGACCAGACUCC